GCGGUUUGGGAUCAUUAUGCCAGCAUCCUUGAUAAAAUCGCAGUCCUCGGUCUAGGCAGGCAGCAUCAACGCAGGCUAUAACACUUCACCGAAGUAAAGUCACAUUCCUACGCCAUUAUCCUACCGCCCAAACCGAUGCUGGCCCGAUAAGCUGCGGGUCACCCCGCCACGAAGGCAAGGCUCACAAAAUAUCGAGUCUGAUCUCAAACCCUUCCCUUUCAACAAUUUCACGUACUUUUUCACUCUCUUUUCAAAGUUCUUUUCAUCUUUCCAUCACUGUACUUGUUCGCUAUCGGUCUCUCGCCAAUAUUUAGCUUUAGAUGGAAUUUACCACCCACUUAGAGCUGCAUUCCCAAACAACUCGACUCUUCGAAAGCACCUUACAUAGAAUUGGGCAUCUCAUCGCACGGGAUUCUCACCCUCUGUGACGUCCUGUUCCAAGAAACAUAGACAAGAGCCAACCCCAAGGUUACAAUCUUCAAAUUACAACUCGGACACCGAAGGCGCCAGAUUUCAAAUUUGAGCUUUUGCCGCUUCACUCGCCGCUACUAAGGCAAUCCCUGUUGGUUU
rnacentral:rRNA from 1 species